UACAGAGGCCCCCAAGCGUUAGGCGGAAUCACUGGGCUUAAAGCGUGUGUAGGUGGUUUAAUAAGUCAACUGUUAAAUCUUGAGGCUCAACCUCAAAAUCGCAGUCGAAACUAUUAGGCUAGAGUAUAGUAGGGGUAAAGGGAAUUUCCAGUGGAGCGGUGAAAUGCGUAGAGAUUGGAAAGAACACCGAUGGCGAAGGCACUUUACUGGGCUAUUACUAACACUCAGAGACGAAAGCUAGGGUAGCAAAUGGG
rnacentral:rRNA from 1 species